UACAGAGGUCUCAAGCGUUGUUCGGAUUCAUUGGGCGUAAAGGGUGCGUAGGCGGCGCGGUAAGUCGGGUGUGAAAUCUUGGAGCUUAACUCCGAAACUGCAUUCGAUACUGCCGUGCUUGAGGACUGGAGAGGAGACUGGAAUUUACGGUGUAGCGGUGAAAUGCGUAGAUAUCGUAAGGAAGACCAGUGGCGAAGGCGGGGUCUCUGGACAGUUCCUGACGCUGAGGCACG
rnacentral:rRNA from 1 species